UUUGGGAAGGAGCAGGAAGGAGAAAGCGGCGUGCAGGUGGCAGGCGGGGUGCCGGAGCAGGAGGUGGUCGAGGACGAACCUGGGCUCGAACUCCCAAAGGAAGCCUGCGGGGAAAAGACAGAGCGAGGCAGACCCACUGAAGUUCUGAAGCAAUUGGAAAAGUCAUCUUACCUUCCUUUCCUGGAAUGAACAACACAUGAAUAGACAAGCGGAGAUACCUUUUACUAGUAGUGUUCAUCGUGUUACUGGAAAUGAUAAUGUAUAGAUGUUGCUACGCACUUUUGUAUAAUGCUUUCAUUCUUCUAAUUUUGUUACUUAAAAUGUUUCACAUAAUGAACAUGGAGCUGAAAGAUAUUUAGAACUUUGUAACAAGGAAUGUUUAUUAGAACUGUGUUUGUACUGAGGAAUUCUCACUGUGUUUGCCAUCUGAUUAUACAAAUACUCCUCUGUUCAGAAGAAUAUCACAGAAUCACAGAACGUAAGGGAUUGGAAGGAACCUCAAAAGAUCUUCUAGUCCAAUCCCCCCUUCAGAGCAGGAACACCUAGAUGAGGUUACACAGGAAUGUGUCCAGAGAAGGAGACUCCACAACCUCCCUGGGCAGCCUGUUCCAGUGCUCUGUUACCCUCACUGAGAAGAAGUUUCUUCUCAUAUUUAAGUGGAACCUCUUGUGUUUCAGUUUGAACCCAUUACCCCUUGUCCUAUCAUUGGUUGUCACCGAGAAGAGCCUGGCUCCAUCCUUGUGACACUCACACUUUAUAUAUUUGUAAACUUUAAUAAGGUCACCCCUCAGUCUCCUCCAAGCUAAAGAGACACAGCUCCCUCAGCCUUUCCACCUAUGGGAGAUGCUUCACUCCAUCAUCUUCGUUGCCCUGCACUGGACUCUCCAGCAGUUCCCUGUCCUUCUUGAACUGAGGGGCCCAGAACUGGACAUAAUAUUCCAGGUGUGGUCUCACCAGGGCAGAGUAGAGGGGAAGGAGAAUCUCUCUGGACCUACUAACCACCCCCGUUCUAAUACACCCCAGGAUGCCAUUGGCCUUCCUGGCCACAAGGGCACAGUGCUGGCUCAAGGUCAUCCUGCUGUCCACCAGGACCCCCGGUCCUUUUCUCCUACACUGCUCUCUAAUAGGUCAUUCCCCAACUUAUACUGGAACCUGGGGUUGUUUCUACCCAGAUGCAAGACUCUACACUUAUCCCACUUUAGAAUUAUUACUAGGUGACCAUUUUCUUUCUAGCUUUUAAAUAUUUGGCUCACUGCAUCACAAGCUUUCUGGAUCACAUCAGUAUUAAUCAAAUUUUAAACCUGUUACAUGAAAAUUUUGAUUUUGGCCUUCUACCUGGUUCUGUGGUUCACAUUGCAUAUUUGGCAUGGUGGGUUUUUAGUAAAAGGUAAAGUGUUGUUUUCUAUGUCUUCAUAGAGUGACACAAAAAUGUGUAAAAGUAAGGAAUUAAGUAUGUUUCUAUAUUUUUAUUUAAUAUUUGCUUAAUUAACAGUCUGAGUGUGUAAUAUACUUGCAUAAGUAUCUUGCAUUCUACACCUAGAACAAAUGAAAGUCAGCACAUUUCAAGCGCCUGCCAAAAUACAUUUUCAGCUUUUGGUCUUGUACUUCAUCCCAUCAUCCGAGUUUGCAGUAAAUAAUUUAAAAUCAUUAUACAUUUUUCAUAUUAAAAUUAGUUCUAGGACUUGUACUUAAAUAUGGAUGGUUAGUAUUUGGUGGGAGUUAAAAUGUUUCUGGUUUAAUUUCUUAUAUGUCAGCAUUUCCCAUGCAUUUUGGUUUCACUGUUUUUAUUCAAUUCUUUCGUUUACUGAUGUAGACGGUCCCUGAAUAUGGAAUGACCUAUCUCUCUUUAGUUAUCUCACAGUUUGUAGUCUGACCUACACCAAAUAGAACCUUAAAUUACAUAUAGUAUUCAGAAUAUUACAUUUCAAUGAAAGUGCUAAAUGUGUCUUCCUUGUCCCUUCAUCAGACUACCACAGUCAUUCAAACUCAGUAAUUCUUGGCUUGUUCUUAAAUCUCAGAUGUUGUCUAAAUUCCACAUUAGUCACCCUUGACUUAUAUCAUGGUUCAUUGAAAGGACUUUUAAAAAUGUGUGAGCACCUGUGGCAAAAAUCUUGACCUACUUUUGUAAGUUUGCUUAACAAGAGAGAACUGUUCAUAUGGGUAUAUCUUCCGCCCCAUAGUAAUUUCCAAUGUAAAUUUCAUCUUAACCUCCUAUAGCAGUUUUCAUAAAUGAACAUGUUCAGCUCAGCCUUCCUUGUUUCAGAAGCUGUUUCUAUUAAAUAUUGUGGCAGUUGCCCAUCCCACAAUGAGAUGUGGAGCUUUCAAUAGGGCAGUUGAUGACUCUUCAGCACCUUUUGUGCCUCACUGUACCUGUCCCCGUGUACACCCGUUGGUGGGUGCUGACAGUCACAUCCUCCCCCCUACCUGGGCACAGUGAGUCCUCACAUUCACUUCCCUCUACUGGGAGAGUUGGAGGGAAGGGACCCUUGGUCAACACACAGCAUCCUCAGCCAAGGAGGAAGCUUCUGGACCAUGCUUGUAAUGACCAUGGCCAGAUAUGACUGGGAUACAAAAUGGGGCUGCUACUGAAGACACCCUUGGAGUGGUCCUCUUGGAGCAGAGGGACUGUGAACAGAGCUCUGCCCUUAGAACUGGACACUAUCUAAGGAGAAUUCCUGGGAUUGAGAGCCCUCACCUUCUUCCUGGUCAGUGUUAUAUCCUUGAGUGAGUCCUUGCCUACUCUGGGCAGGUGACUACUUCUUCUGGGUACCCUUGAGUGAAAGUGGCCUCUUGUUUUGUGAGUGCAUGCAUGCUGUGAAUCCUCACUAUUCUUAUGUAUCUUAAAGUAAUAAUAUCCUCAACUGGUGUCCAAACCUGUGCUUUGUAAUAUUGUCAGAGUGCUGAAUAAUUUUAGAUAAAUCCUGUUUCUAGUUGUUUUUCUUUGCUGAACAGUUCUGGCUUGAAUAAAGUCUGUUUGGAGCUUGU